rnacentral:rRNA from 1 species
GACGUAGGGCGCGAGCGUUGUCCGGAUUUAUUGGGCGUAAAGAGCUCGUAGGCGGCUUGUCGCGUCGUCCGUGAAAACCCAUGGCUCAACUGUGGGCUUGCGGUCGAUACGGGCAGGCUGGAGUUCGGUAGGGGAGACUGGAAUUCCUGGUGUAGCGGUGAAAUGCGCAGAUAUCAGGAGGAACACCGGUGGCGAAGGCGGAUCUCUGGGCCGAUACUGACGCUGAGGCGCGAAAGCUAGGGUAGCAAACGGG